rnacentral:lncRNA from 1 species
CACCGUUUCAGUGGCAUUUAAAUCCCCGGCGCUCCUCAGUGUAGGUGACGCGCGCUCGCCCCCCCAGGCAGCCCGGGCCGCGGCGGUAGCAGCGGCCGCUCCCGGAGCUGACUUGGAGCACUGGGACCAAAGGGAGUCAAGACGGCCUUCUGCGCGCGCCCGGCUUUGCGCGCCUCCGCCACCAGAUGUGGGGGGAUGGGAGGCCCCCUCCGCGGCCCCUUCCCCACCCAGCCCAGAAAGCUGAACUGGCAAGAGGACGAAUCGCAUCCAGGAACUGCGCAGCCCUGGCCACAGCCCGGACACCCUGCUCAGAUCUCAGAGCCUGGGGCCUGAAAACCACCACAGUCCCCACACACGGAGACUGCUGAGGGAUUAGGGGAGUAGAGGGUGAAGGGAAGGUAGAGAGCAAACCCCUGAAUAAAGUCCGAGGUUUCAUUGUAAUUCCCAAGCUUUUGCUAUUAAGAACUGGGUUCUUCCAUCAAUCACCGCCCCCCCCCCCACCACGCACAUGUUGCUGCAGUUUCUCACGGUCUGUUUUUCCUGAACCCAUCCACAGCUGGGAGAUUAAUCAACCACACUGAAAAUGGGGGUGUGGGGGAGGGAAAGGAAGAGUUGGAACGUAGAUGUUUGAAACAAAUGUGUAUAAAUAAAUGAAUUUUUAAUAACUCCGUUAUUGACCUAGAAACUAGCAGCUUGGUAAGGGAACUCCAUUCCACUC